rnacentral:ncRNA from 1 species
CCCCAAGAGUUCACAUCGACGGGGCGGUUUGGCACCUCGAUGUCGGCCCCAAGAGUUCACAUCGACGGGGCGGUUUGGCACCUCGAUGUCGGCUCGUCGCAUCCUGGAGCUGAAGCAGGUUCCAAGGGUUGGGCUGUUCGCCCAUUAAAGCGGUACGCGAGCUGGGUUCAGAACGUCGUGAGACAGUUCGGUCCCUAUCUGUCGUGGGCGCAGGAUAUUUGAGGAGAUCUGUCCCUAGUACGAGAGGACCAGGAUGGACGAACCUCUGGUUUACCAGUUGUCACGCCAGUGGCAUAGCUGGGUGGCUACGUUCGGAAAGGAUAACCGCUGAAAGCAUCUAAGCGGGAAACCAACUCCAAGAUCAGAUAUCCCUUCCUGAUGGUGACAUCAGGACAGUAGACUCCCUGAAGAUCACAGGGUUGAUAGGCUGGAAGUGUAAGUCCUGUAAGGGAUUCAGCUAACCAGUACUAAUAAGUCGUGAGGCUUGGCCGC